UGGGGAAUAUUGGACAAUGGGCGCAAGCCUGAUCCAGCCAUGCCGCGUGAGUGAUGAAGGCCCUAGGGUUGUAAAGCUCUUUUGUGCGGGAAGAUAAUGACGGUACCGCAAGAAUAAGCCCCGGCUAACUUCGUGCCAGCAGCCGCGGUAAUACGAAGGGGGCUAGCGUUGCUCGGAAUCACUGGG
rnacentral:rRNA from 1 species